rnacentral:lncRNA from 1 species
UCCUCAACACAAUAUCUGAGACUUUCCACAUUAAUCACCUCAAUGUCAACAAGAAGAAUGGUGGCUUGAAGUAGUUCACGAGCAACUCGAUUGUUCAUUAGGCCCAAUCUUGAAUCUUGGAUGCCUUGCCCAAGUUCCAAGGCACUUUUGUGAAGCCAAGGGUGAAGGGUCAGCUUGGUGUGGAGGGCCAUGUGAAGAACCCUAAGGUGUGGCUACACCUCAGAGGGUCAAAAAGUUGGAUGAAUGGAGUUGUUCCCCAAGAUUGACUGAUCUAGGGGGUGAUGACUCAAGCUCCUAAGAAAGAAGCCCUCCUCCUUAGAGUUGAACCCUGAGUCAAUGCCUAAAGAGAGCCGGUGGUGGGCUAGGUAAGGAUAGCCUUGGCUCAGCCUCACUUGGGGAUAGGAGCAUCGUUCGAGAACUUCUUUCUUUUAGGGAUGUAGCAUAAUGCCCCAAGCUCCUCGAGCUUCAUAUCUAGAAAGCAAAAAAUUAUUAGUAAAAAAGACUAAAGUGAAGCCAAAUCAAAAUUGAUACUUAUCUUGAGGACUGAUCGAGCUCAAUCUGAUCUUAUAUAAUGUCUCUUUGGAAAGGAGCUUCUGUAAAGGAGGAGUAGCACAGCUGAAAAUGAACUUCAAAGCUUCCUCUUCGGUGUUUGAGAGUAUUGAAGCUUUAUUCAACAACCUCCAACAUUGAUCUCAUGAAGUAUCAAAACCCCAAGGCUACUUGGUUGAAACAAAAAAAUAAUGCUCCUUCUAGUUAUAAAUAAAGGAAUGAGCAUCUCAGACGAGACGCCAUCCCAUCCAA